UCCUCAGUAGCUCAGGAGUAGAGCGGUCGACUGUUAACUGGCUGGUCGUAGGUUCAAAUCUUACUUGAGGAG
rfam:Gossypium raimondii Chr11_contig_734, whole genome shotgun sequence.